ensembl:lncRNA novel transcript
CUCAGUGUUUUGGGGAACCAGAAACAAACCAAUAAAAUAAAGGCGUGGAAAGGCUACUGUGAGAACAGAAAGGAGCAACUGGGGCACUGAAACAAAAACAACCUGCACAGAAAUUAAAUUGAGCCAGAACGUAAAGAACUGAAGGAAGUGUCUGAUACAGAGAAGAGAGAAAGUACAUUUAGGCCAAAAGAAUCAUCACAGGAUGAACUAACCUUCUGGUUCCAGGAGAAAGACGAGGGACUUGGAAACUGAAUUGUCCCAUCCACUGCAGCUGAAAUCUGCCACCUUAACUUCCUGCAGAGCUUCAAUGAGAAGCAGAGAUCAGCCAAGGGCCUCUGAGCACCUAUUCAACUCACAGAUGUGUGAAUGAUGAUACCGAAUUGCUGCUUUAAACCCCUCAGCUUUGUGGUAGUUACAUGGGAAUAGCUAAUACAAAUAAGUGGUGCAGACCCCGGACACAGAGCUGAUACACAGGAUGUCACUGGGAGAAACAGAGAAAGAGUGUGGUUGUCUCCCCAUAUCUACAGUUUCACAUUCUGGGAUUUCAGUUACCUGCAUUUAACGGAGGUUGUCUGAAAAUAUUAAAUAAAAAAUUCCCAAAGUAAACAA